rnacentral:rRNA from 1 species
CGACCUCGGGAGCUUGCACAGGUGCUGCAUGGCUGUCGUCAGCUCGUGUCGUGAGAUGUCGGUUAAGUCCGCUACGAGCGCAACCCUCGCUGUGUGUUAUAUGUGUCACACGGGACUGCCGGGUCUUAAGCCGGAGGAAGGUGGGGAUGAUGUCAAGUCAGCAUGGCCUUUAUAUCCUGGGCUACACACACGCUACAAUGGCCAACACAAUAGGUUGCUAAGCCGCGAGGUGGCGCCAAUCCAUAAAGUUGGUCUCAGUUCAGAUUGUAGGCUGCAACCCGCCUGCAUGAAGAUGGAGUUGCUAGCAACCGCAGGUCAGCUAUACUGCGGUGAAUACGUUCCCGGGGCUU